GAUGAACGCUGGCGGCGUGCCUAAUACAUGCAAGUCGAACGAACGGACGAGAAGCUUUCUUCUCUGAUGUUAGCGGCGGGCGGGUGAGUAACACGUGGAUAACCUACCUAUAAGACUGGGGUAACUUCGAGAAACCGGAGCUCAUACCGGAAAAUAUUUUCAACCGCAUGGUUGAAGAGUGAAAGUCGGUCUUGCUGUCGCUUUUAGAUGGAUCCGCGCUGCAUUAGCUAGUCUGUAAGGUAACGGCGUAGCAAGGCAACGAUUCAUAGCCGACCGGAGGGGCUGAUCGGCCACACUGGAACUGAGACACGGUCCAGACUCCUACGGGAGGCAGCAGUAGGGAAUCUUCCGCAAUGGGCGAAAGCCUGACGCAGCAACGCCGCGUGAGUGAUGAAGGUCUUCGGAUCGUAAAGCUCUGUUAUUAGGGAAGAACAUAUUUGUAAGUAAAUGUGCACAUCUUGACGGUACCUAAUCAGGAAGCCCCGGCUAACUACGUG
rnacentral:rRNA from 1 species